ACACCAGACUCCUACGGGAGGCAGCAGUGAGGAAUAUUGGUCAAUGGGCGAGAGCCUGAACCAGCCAAGUCGCGUGAAGGAUGACGGCCCUACGGGUUGUAAACUUCUUUUGUCAGGGAGCAAUUGGGUCCACGCGUGGGCUUAGCGAGAGUACCUGAAGAAAAAGCAUCGGCUAACUCCGUGCCAGCAGCCGCGGUAAUACGGAGGAUGCGAGCGUUAUCCGGAUUUAUUGGGUUUAAAGGGUGCGUAGGCGGAUUUUUAAGUCAGCGGUAAAAUGUCCGGGCUCAACCCGGGCCGGCCGUUGAAACUGGGGAUCUUGAGUGGGCGAGAAGUAUGCGGAAUGCGUGGUGUAGCGGUGAAAUGCAUAGAUAUCACGCAGAACUCCGAUUGCGAAGGCAGCAUACCGGCGCCCGACUGACGCUGAGGCACGAAAGCGUGGGGAUCGAACAGGAUUAGAUACCCGAGUAC
rnacentral:rRNA from 1 species